GCCGAAGUGGUGGAAUGGUAUACACGCACGACUCAAAAUCGUGUGGGGAAACCCAUGAGGGUCCGACUCCCUCCUUCGGCA
rnacentral:tRNA from 1 species